GUAGCACAGGGAAGCAGGUGAAAUUCGCAUUAGGUGAGAAACUCAGAAACUACCGUGCGACUUGGUAAAAGUGAAUGGACAGGUGUCUAGAAGAUAAACACAGUUAGGGGAGUUGUGAAGCUAGUCAUACUCCGUCGACAAAAACUACCUUAAACACCAUUUAAACGAAACAAGAGAGUUAUCCGUUUGCUGGCUUCUUGUUUUCAAGUAUUAAUUAUAUCAGCUAACUAUUUUUGUAAGGCUAGUUGGCUAGCUAGCAGCGAUGGAGAGAGGAGAUGGGGAUUUUUGACAACAAACAAAACGACCCAGCAACAAGCAUUGUAUGACAUGGAUACUUCAUCUCCUUGAAAGAAAGGAGAAUGGACUUUGACGUCAAAUAACAUUCUGCUGCCAGUGCUGUAGCUAGCAGAUAAUGUGUAGUCGAGUCUGAGGGUUGCCAGAUCAUCAGGAACGAUCAGCCCAGUUCCCGUUCUGCAACAAAGAAGUAUCAUAAAAUGAUUAUUUAUGUGGACACUUGAGUGAACUGAAGGGACUGCAAUCAAUGUACCUGUACUGUAUAUCAGAUAUUAAACAAAAACUCCAUAGUCUUAAAGCUGUACAAAUUUAACAUCAUACUGUAGAUACAUAUACAAUGCACAAUUUAAAUGUUUAAUUUAAUAUAUUUAAUUUCCAAACUGUCAAUUAAACAUGCAUGCAGCUGCACACUUUUUUGCUGCCUGAGUUACAGGUUAGUGUUUUGUCAUUGGACAAAUUAAAGAGAA